rnacentral:rRNA from 1 species
CCUACGGGAGGCAGCAGUGGGGAAUAUUGCACAAUGGGCGCAAGCCUGAUGCAGCAACGCCGCGUGAGGGACGACGGCCUUCGGGUUGUAAACCUCUUUUAGUAGGGAAGAAGCGAAAGUGACGGUACCUGCAGAAAAAGCACCGGCUAACUACGUGCCAGCAGCCGCGGUAAUACGUAGGGUGCAAGCGUUAUCCGGAAUUAUUGGGCGUAAAGAGCUCGUAGGCGGUUUGUCACGUCUGCUGUGAAAACUGGAGGCUCAACCUCCAGCCUGCAGUGGGUACGGGCAGACUAGAGUGCGGUAGGGGAGAUUGGAAUUCCUGGUGUAGCGGUGGAAUGCGCAGAUAUCAGGAGGAACACCGAUGGCGAAGGCAGAUCUCUGGGCCGUAACUGACGCUGAGGAGCGAAAGCAUGGGGAGCGAACAGGAUUAGAUACCCUGGUAGUCCAUGCCGUAAACGUUGGGAACUAGAUGUAGGGACCAUUCCACGGUUUCUGUGUCGCAGCUAACGCAUUAAGUUCCCCGCCNGGGGAGUACGGCCGANAAGGACAAAACUACAAAGGAAUUGACGGCGNGAGACGCGACGACGACGACGACGAGGGAGGAG